AAAAACUCAAUUCCUGGGUUUCCGUGUCUAACGUUUGACCGUCCGUCUUAUUUGAAAAAAAUAUAAAAAAAUUAAAAAGAUAACUCAUGCAUAAAGUAUUGUUCAUGUUUUAUCAUCUAACAAUAAUAAAAAUACUAAUCAUAAAAAAAUUUCACAUAAGACGAACGGUCAAUCGUUGGACACGGAAACCUAGAAUUAAG
rnacentral:pre_miRNA from 1 species